CCCACUGGCAUCUCUGGAAGAAAAAUUAAGCAGGUGCUUCGUGUCCUACCAACUACAGAAGAUCAAAUGUCUGAUGAUCCCUGGAGAAAUGCUGCCAGUCAGGCUCAAACCAGGACAGUUGGGUCACUCAGACUGAAUUUCCCAUUGCAGUAUGAAAUUCCUGGUUGGUGCACAUCGGCUUGCUUCUCUCUGGAAGAAUGUUGGGCUGAAGCUACCUGGGAUGUUACCUGAAAUUCAUGAACGUCUUCAUUAUUUGCAUAAAAUUCAAAGCCCAGGUGCGAUGGGAAAAUGAGAUUGUCUUCAUGCUUUCUUGACCCCAGUAAGUGCAGAUUGUCCUGAAGCUGACAAACAAGUUCUGAUCAGAUAUUAGAGGUGAAUGAAUAUAAUGGCAUUAAGGGUGGGGCUGCCAGAAGAAAGAGGGAAUUGUCAUUUUAGGCUCCCACACUUGUCUUCUUUCAGCCCGCUGUCACAAGGUAUGCGAGGCUGGGGGAGAUGCACCAUUUCUUUACUGGGCUUGUUUAUUGUGUGCAGGAGCUGGCAUUUGUGGGCUCCGUACCCAGGGGCAGAUGUGGCUUUUCACACCUGUCCGUUUGGAUCAGCUCUGCGAGUCUCCACCAAACAGCAGAGGUGCACAUCCCGAAUGACACUGAGUGGGAUUUAGCUCCAACCACCCCCAAAAUGUCCUCAAUCUGGACUGCUGGCCUUUUUUUUUUUUUUCCUCCAAAACAACCUGUUCUACUUGAAUGUCUCCAGGCAGGCAGCAAAAACCAUGAGUUUUGCAAUUCUGGGGAGUUGAGAAGGGCAGGGACGAUUAAAGGCAUUCUCCCAGAAAUGCAAGAGCUGCUGGGCCACUUUGGUACCCUGGGGAGCCGUCUGGUUAUUGGUGUGCACUCUCUGUUUUGCAGGGAGGUGAUCAGAAUACAUUAUGAGCUGUUAGGGCACCGGCAUCUUCUUGUUGGGUGUUUCGGCUUGUUAUUUACAUACAAAUGAGAUGAAGUCCGAGUCAUAUGCAAUGAGACAGAAAAGCUGAAGAUAACCGUUUCGGAAGACAUCCUCGUUAGGUGGGUGGGUUUUGCCUUCUCGGCAAGGGAUGAUCUGUUUGGAUUUCACCACCCACCAACCCAGACAGUGCUGCUAAGCCAUACUGUUUGUUAAAACAUAAUUAGCAAUCUGCUCCAAGGUGACCACAUCCCAUAAACCUUUGUGCUUUCUGUCCGAAAAGCCCAGCAGACGCAGGGAGCCCGAACCCACCACGAGAGCAGCAGGGGUGGAUGCUCAGCUGCUAGGAACCGGCGGUGGGUGCAUCCCCAUGGCACUAGCACGGGCAGGCUGAGCCCGGCAGGGUGGCUGAGCUCCUCCAUCAGGGAGCGAGACGUGGUCGGAUGGGGCAGACGAGCCAAGAGUCAGCAGCAAAGUCUAGGAAGUGGAGCGGGAAGUCGGGAAAUAAAUUGUGACACCCACUGCUCAGUCCACCUUUCAGGGGGUAAAUUAACCUGCCCACACCCUGCGCUGCUUCCAGACUGGGAGAAGAGAGACAGAUUUCUCCAAAGGGCAAUUUGGAGUGCAGAUGUCUCAGGGGCUUUUGGUGGUGCCUGGGCAAGCCGUGGGAGGGAAGCAGCCGUCGGGGGCGGACGGUUUUCCUGGCAGGCAGCUGCGCAUCCAGCUGUGGUGAGAGCCACCACGGCAAACCCUUUCCAGCCGUGAUGCAGAGACCUUCCUGCGGGUCUCCACACCUUGGAAACUGGGGACCCUCAUACAGAAAAAGGAUGGGGCAACCUGACCUUACCUGAAGCUGAGCCACCUGGAAGGAAUUCUGCCUUCCUUGGUGUCAGUGGGUGACACCUGUCUGCAGCCCAUGGCCCCCAAUGUUUGUGUAGGCUUGGGUGUUUGACAGAAGGUGGGUGUUCGAGGAGAGAGGGCCUGGUGCUGUAUUUUGGAAAGGCAGAGUUUUGUUUCAUUUGAAAAUUAACCUGCUCUUGUGAGAGGGCUUCAGUUUGUUUGUUUGGUUGGUUGGGUUUUUGCUUCCACCUGAGCUGGUUUUCACUGAUUGCUUUAAAUGGGGGCCUGGCUGCUUUUUGUUCUGCCUCAGAGAUCCCAAGGGAGCUGCACAUCUCACGAGAGGUUAAAUUCCCUGCUUAAUGCUGAGUUUCCAGACUUCCUUGUGACCACGCUCAUCUCUGGAUGGAAUAAAGGUCAUCACAGAACUUGCCACGGCUGCUGUGGAGCUCCUCCAGCUGUGGUGCAGGAAGAAGGUGACAUUAAGCGCCUGAAUCGCCCCUUCCAGGGAAGGUGGGGAUGCUCCGGAGCUGCACCAACGCUGGUGCUCCUGGUCACGGCUGUUGUCCAUUUGCACGAUGACCGAGGUGUCACAGAGCUGACAAUCCAGCUGAGCUCUCUCCUGCAAGAUCCAUCACAGCAAAUGAGUGCGCUCUUACCUCAGCAUAGAUGCACUUCAGGAACUCCAGCUGCUGCCGCAGGAGACCCACUCUCACCUCCAGCUCCUCCUUGGUCAGGUAGAGACAGUCCACAUCCUGGAGAGACACCGUGGAUUUGGUGAAAAGAGGUGAAGAAAAAACCGCUGUGGCAAAGCCCCUUUUCUCUGUUAGAUUUGGAAAAGCCUCCCCAUGGCCAGCCCCUAAGGCUGCCUGGCUUUGCUUUAUGUGUGCUUACAACCUGGCAGGGUUCUCCAGGUGACCCAGGUGGGUCGCCUCAAUUUUGGGGCUGCGCAGUGAGGGUUCAGGCAGUGCCAUGGUGCCAUGGCUUUCCAUUUCACUCCCUGGCCCCACGCCCAGGUUUUGCAUACACACCAGCCACCCUCAGCUGAGCUCACUGGUGCUGUCUGUAGCACAGCUCACCUUCUUCAGCACCACAAACUCGUUCUCCGCAGCCGUGCGCUUGUUGAUCUCAUCUUCAUAUCUGCAGGAGGAAAGGAGAGGGGUGGGCUGCUGAGUCCCGGUGGUCCCAUCCCCACCACCCAAGCAGCCAGCACAGAAAGCGUGACUGAAACCAGGGCCUCUCCCUGUUUGCUUUGUACCUCCUAUUAGAGUUUUGCUUUCUUGUUAUUUUUUUUUCCUCUGUGCUGAGCUUUGUUCAGCAGUUUUAAAUAGCCCACGCCAGCAGUAUCGGUAGCUGCUGUGAGAUGGCAGUAAAUCAGGCCAAACCACUAGAAAUGCCAAACCGUGUACCAAGCUGAAGGCUUGCUUUGCUGCUUCUAGCCCUGCUGCUGCGUGUGAGGUUUUUUGGAAGCAUCCAGGACUCUGCUCUCAGCUUUAUGGGGAGACUGUGGCCAAAGUGCCCCAAGGGAGGUCAGGAGCUUGAGCAACCUGUGAAACUCCUAGGUGCCAUGAAAAGGAAAGCUGGUGUGUAAUGACCAAGUAAUUGGGACCUGGAAGAGCUUUCACAAGAUGAGUCUGACCUCCUUGGUGGUGGCUCAGUGAGAGAAAACAUCUGAGAGGCUUGUCUGUAAGGUCUUUGGAGAAGACUACUCUUAUAUGCGUGUUGUACAUCACCAGCCACCGUUCACAGCUUAGUGCAGCACACAGGGAACUAUUAAGGAAUAUCUGCAUCUUAGAUUAAAAAAAACAAUUCCCACAUUUCCUCUGGGAAGAGGGAACGAACCCCAGUGGAGACUAUGUGGAUAAAGUGUGGGGUGAAAACAAAUGGGCUGAGGGAUCUGUGGGAAUGGAUGGCAGCUGGGGGCAGGAGAUUUGAGGGAGCCACAGAUGACGUGGGAGAUUUGAUACAGCAAAACCACAGGGGAGUGCAGGAGUGCUAGGGAGAGGAAAAGAGGUUCCCUGUCUCUCACCCUCAGGAAAUACUGCAGGGGGGGCUCUCCCAGUGCAUCACCUGCACCUGAGAUGCAGCAGUGGGACCCCAGCACAGAAUCCAGCCCAGUGCUGGUGUGCCCUGCCCUGCUCCCUCCCUGUGCUCCAGUUUUUGAGCUGUCUGCUGCUGCUGCAUUGGCUUCACGCUCCAAAAGUCUGCUCCAGGCCAGCCAACACCCCAACCCCCAUGUUCUCUCUGCAUGCUACUUACUUGC